rnacentral:rRNA from 1 species
GACGAACGCUGGCGGUUUGCCUAAUAAAUGCAAUUCGAAAGCAGUGGGGACGGGUGAGUAAAACGUGGGUAACCUCCCAUCAGAGGGGAUAACACUUGGAAACAGGUGCUAGACCGAUAUUGAUGGGUGGACCCGCGGUGCAUUCACUAGUUGGUGAGUUAACGGCGCACCAAGUCAACGUGUCAUCGCCGGCCUGAGAGGGGGAUCUGCCACCCGGGGACUGAGCAACGGCCCAGACUCCUACGGUAGGCAGCAGUAGGUAAUCUCCUGAAAUGGACGAAAGUCUGACCGAGAAACGCCGCGUGAGUGAAGAAGGUUUGCGGAGCGUAAAACGCUGUUGUUAGAGAAGCGGUAUCUAACCAGAAAGCCACGGCUAACUACGUGCCAGCCGCCGCGGUAAUUC